rnacentral:rRNA from 1 species
UGCAAGUCGAGCGAACGGACGAGAAGCUUGCUUCUCUGAUGUUAGCGGCGGACGGGUGAGUAACACGUGGAUAACCUACCUAUAAGACUGGGAUAACUUCGGGAAACCGGAGCUAAUACCGGAUAAUAUUUUGAACCGCAUGGUUCAAAAGUGAAAGACGGUCUUGCUGUCACUUAUAGAUGGAUCCGCGCUGCAUUAGCUAGUUGGUAAGGUAACGGCUUACCAAGGCAACGAUGCAUAGCCGACCUGAGAGGGUGAUCGGCCACACUGGAACUGAGACACGGUCCAGACUCAUACGGGAGGCAGCAGUAGGGAAUCUUCCGCAAUGGGCGAAAGCCUGACGGAGCAACGCCUGCGUGAGUGAUGAAGGUCUUCGGAUCGUAAAACUCUGUUAUUAGGGAAGAACAUAUGUGUAAGUAGCUGUGCUCAUCUUGACGGUACCUAGUCAGAAAGCCACAGCUGACUACGUGCCAGCAGCCGCGGUAAUACGCAGGUGGCAAGCGUUAUCUGGAAUUAUUGCGCGUAAAGCGCGCGUGGCCGCUUUUUUUAACUUUGAUGUUGAAAAGCCCCACGGGUUCUAACCCGUGGCAGGGGUCAUUGGAAAACUGGAAAAACCUUGAGUGCAGUAAGAGGGAAAGGAAGGAAUUCCCAUCGUGUUAGCGUGAAAAUGCGCAGAGAUUUGGGAGGAAACACCAGUGGGAGAGGCGACUUUCUGGUCGCGUAACUGACGUCUGAUGUGCGAAAAGCGUGGGGGAUCAAUACCAGGAUUAGAUACCCGUGGUAGUCCAACGCUCGUAAAACGAUGAGUGCUAAGUGUUAGGGGGGUUUCCGCCCUCUUAGUGCUGCAGCUAACGCCAUUAAGCACUCCGCCCUGGGGAGUACGACCCGCAAGGUUGAAACUUCAAGAGGAAUUGACGGGGACCCGCACAAGCGGUGGAGCAUGUGGUUUAAUUCGAAGCAACGCGAAGAACCUUACCAAAUCUGUGACGAUCCUUUGACAACUCUAGAGAUAGAGCCUUGCCCUUCGGGGGACAAAGUGACAGGUGGUGCAUGGUUGUCGUCAGCUCGUGUCGUGAGAUGUUGGGUUAAGUCCCGCAACGAGCGCAACCCUUAAGCUUAGUUGCCAUCAUUAAGUUGGGCACUCUAAGUUGACUGCCGGUGACAAACCUGAGGAAGGUGGGGAUGACGUCAAAUCAUCAUGCCCCUUAUGAUUUGGGCUACACACGUGCUACAAUGGACAAUACAAAGGGCAGCGAAACCGCGAGGUCAAGCAAAUCCCAUAAAGUUGUUCUCAGUUCGGAUUGUAGUCUGCAACUCGACUACAUGAAGCUGGAAUCGCUAGUAAUCGUAGAUCAGCAUGCUACGGUGAAUACGUUCCCGGGUCUUGUACACACCGCCCGUCACACCACGAGAGUUUGUAACACCCGAAGCCGGUGGAGUAACCUUUUAGGAGCUAG